rnacentral:tRNA from 1 species
UCCUCCGUGGCGCAAUUGGCUAGCGCGUCUGACUGUUAAUCAGGAGGUGAGUUUCCAUACAUUCGCAUGGAGUGUGUAGCAACGCAACAUACUAAUCCAAUUUCAUAGGUUGAAAGUUCGAGCCUUUCCGGGGGAG